UAGGAUUGGACAGCUCUCCUCUUU
rnacentral:piRNA from 1 species